rnacentral:rRNA from 1 species
AGCUUACUACGCAUAUAUUGACGCUGAGGCACGAAAGCGUGGGGAUCAAACAGGAUUAGAUACCCUGGUAGUCCACGCCCUAAACGAUGGAUACUAGCUGUUCGGACGCAAGUUUGAGUGGCUAAGCGAAAGUGAUAAGUAUCCCACCUGGGGAGUACGGGCGCAAGCCUGAAACUCAAAGGAAUUGACGGGGGCCCGCACAAGCGGUGGAGCAUGUGGUUUACUUCGAUGAUACGCGAGGAACCUUACCAGGGCUUAAAUGUAGGUUGACAGGCUUGGAAACAGGUUUUUCUUCGGACAACUUACAAGGUGCUGCAUGGUUGUCGUCAGCUCGUGCCGUGAGGUGUCAGGUUAAGUCCUAUAACGAGCGCAACCCCUGUCGUUAGUUGCCAGCGAGUCAUGUCGGGAACUCUAAAGAAACUGCCGUCGUAAGACGUGAGGAAGGAGGGGAUGAUGUCAAGUCAUCAUGGCCUUUAUGCCCAGGGCUACACACGUGCUACAAUGGGAAGG